rnacentral:misc_RNA from 1 species
GAUGAAGAACGCAGCGAAAUGCGAUAAGUAGUGUGAAUUGCAGAAUUCAGUGAAUCAUCGAAUCUUUGAACGCACAUUGCGCCCCUUGGUAUUCCAUGGGGCAUGCCUGUUCGAGCGUCAUUUGUACCUUCAAGCUUUGCUUGGUGUUGGGUGUUUGUCUCGCCUUUGCGCGUAGACUCGCCUUAAAAUAAUUGGCAGCCGGCGUAUUGAUUUCGGAGCGCAGUACAUCUCGCGCUUUGCACUCAUAACGACAGCGUCCAAAAGUACAUUUUACACUCUUGACCUCGGAUCAGGUAGGGAUACCCGCUGAACUUAAGCAUAUCAAUAAGCGGAGGA